rnacentral:rRNA from 1 species
UCUACGGGGGGCAGCAGUCGCGAAAACUUUGCAAUACACGAAAGUGUGACAGGGUCAUCCCGAGUGCCGUCCGCUGAGGAUGGCUUUUACUCAGUCUAGAAAGCUGGGGGAAUAAGGAGAGGGCAAGUCUGGUGUCAGCCGCCGCGGUAAUACCAGCUCUCCGAGUGGUGUGGAUGUUUAUUGGGCCUAAAGCAUCCGUAGCUGGCUGGGCAAGUCCCCUGUUAAAUCCACCGAUUCAAUCGUUGGUGUGCGGGGGAUACUGUUCGGCUAGGGGACGAGAGAGGCCGACGGUAUUUUCGGGGUAGGGGUGAAAUCCUAUAAUCCCGGGAAGACCACCAGUGGCGAAGGCUGUCGGCUAGAACGCGCCCGACGUGAGGAGAACGUUAAGGAGCGAACCGGAUUAGAUACCCCCGUAGUCCAAUUCCG